rnacentral:rRNA from 1 species
UGCAGUCGAACGGCAGCACGAGAGAGCUUGCUCUCUUGGUGGCGAGUGGCGGACGGGUGAGUAAUAUAUCGGAACGUGCCCAGUAGCGGGGGAUAACUACUCGAAAGAGUGGCUAAUACCGCAUACGCCCUACGGGGGAAAGGGGGGGAUCGCAAGACCUCUCACUAUUGGAGCGGCCGAUAUCGGAUUAGCUAGUUGGUGGGGUAAAGGCUCACCAAGGCAACGAUCCGUAGCUGGUUUGAGAGGACGACCAGCCACACUGGGACUGAGACACGGCCCAGACUCAUACGGGAGGCAGCAGUGGGGAAUUUUGGACAAUGGGGGAAACCCUGAUCCAGCCAUCCCGCGUGUAUGAUGAAGGCCUUCGGGUUGUAAAGUACUUUUGGCAGAGAAGAAAAGGCAUCCCCUAAUACGGGAUGCUGCUGACGGUAUCUGCAGAAUAAGCACCGGCUAACUACGUGCCAGCAGCCGCGGUAAUACGUAGGGUGCAAGCGUUAAUCGGAAUUACUGGGCGUAAAGCGUGUGUAGGCGGUUCGGAAAGAAAGAUGUGAAAUCCCAGGGCUCAACCUUGGAACUGCAUUUUUAACUGCCGAGCUAGAGUAUGUCAGAGGGGGGUAGAAUUCCACGUGUAGCAGUGAAAUGCGUAGAUAUGUGGAGGAAUA